rnacentral:lncRNA from 1 species
GGUCUCGUAGCCGCUGAAGUCAUAACAGGUAUCGAGUACUCGCGUAGGAGGCGCAGCAGGGUACUGGGACAUGUAGCUCCGGAACGCAGACCUCAGGGCUCCGUAGGCCGACGCCGGGAGGCGAGUGAUGGUAGUGCCGGAGUCGAUGAUCGUGCCACGGGACGAGAAAACCGAUGGCGAAAUGGCCAGUUGCUGCCCACCGACGCUGAUUCCGAUCAGGUCAACGAAGUAAAAGCUUGGAUGAUUGGAGCUGGUCUGCAUUCGAGUGUAAACGGUGUUGGAGGCAUCACCAGGUUCGCCCAGUUUCAGGAACCCGGUGGAGCUGGGAGUCGAAGGAAGGCAGUAGGAGAAGACCGAGUGGUAAACUUGCGACGUUUGGGACACCAGAGAGCGCUUGCCGCGGCCGAGACCCACGAGCCCUGCGGUGUCUUGGAACAGCCCUUCGUUGUCGGUGCCGCACCCGAAGAGGAAGUCCUCGAUCACGUCGUUUGGCGACAGCGUCAGUCUGUCGUAGCUGUAGACUCCUGAAGUGGUCGACCCAUCGCCGUAGGUGAUGCCAUAAGCGCAAGAGCUGGAGCAGCUGCUUCGGAGCUGACUGCAGUCCUGCGAGUUGCAAGGGAUCGCGGUGUAGGAGGAUGAUUGGGAUGGGUCAAAGAUCGGCUCCUGCUGCGAGUAGCACGCGGAGCAUGGUUUGCAUUGGAUCCAACUCAGGUCGCUCCCGGUGUCCAUCGUCACAGUCUGCUCUCGGCUGGGGGUGCCAUAGCCGACUGUGAUCACGUACUCCCCUCCUCCGUACUCCGCGGGGAUGCUUGCCUUGGAAUCAUCGACCUGUGGCUUGGCGGAAGACUUCAAGGCACUUCGCCGGAGAUAGUUGACUCUAAGUUGGUCUUUCAGAAGAAUCUCUUCUAGCGAUAGCAGUUUCUUGUCGUCGAAGGGGGAGCAGGGUCCAUGCCGAUGCACCAACGGGAAGGCGGUGAAGUUAGAUCCUGAGAAAGGCGAAACUAUCUUUUAAGGAAACUGUAUCAAAUGGUUUCAGCAAUUCAUGGGUAGCGGAGUAUGAGAUCUGCAGCCCAAAGAAAAGAUUGAUGCAAGAGAGCAACUGAGGUAUGACUGACCCUUGGACGAGGAGCAGACAACUUCGGGACUAGAAUUAUGAUUUCGAACCACGUGGUAGCUCUGAGCGUCUUCUCCGUUAGCAAGGGAAGAACAGUGACUCAGGAACAGAACAGAAGAGCAGAUUAAGAGAGCAGCCGAAGCCAUUUGCUGGGAAGAGACAAGCCCUGGGCGAAGGAUUGCAAUGGCAAUGCAUCCAAUUUAUAGAGACUUCAAAACCACUUUCUUUGUUCCACCAGAUUGGCCUCUGAUUUGAGUCAAGUAUGUCGACUAGUCGUUGACUUCAUAUUGACUGGCAUCGUCAAGUUCUUCCACACAAUCACGGAGCAAUUUAGGCUUAGUUUCGCAUUCCCACUGCAAAAUCCACGAAAUAAUUUGGUUUACGUCACAACGAUGAGAUCUAAAGGAAGACUUCGAACAGUUCAAAGUCGAAUAAUUAGAGCCACAACUCGAGUGCAAGACCGGAGAGAAGACUUUCAACAGUUCAACAUCUUGGUGUGAUUUCUUCACCGACCAAUCCUGACCGGCUCAUAAAUCGUCAACUAAUAACAACAACAACUAAAUGCUUCCUUAUGGCUGUUCUACGAGUCACCCAGGCGAGUGGAUCGGGAGCUAUUCGAGAGGGAAUUACACGGUAUACUUCCAUGUCCGCACGAACCAAAGUGCGCAAGAACAUGGACUCGUACUUCUGAAACCUGCAAUGAUAGAUCGAUAGCUCCGAUACUGUAUGUGAUGAACGGAUUGCACUAUGAGAAUAACUUCAGCUGGUCUGGUGUUGAAUCAAUGGUUGACAGCAGCAGAGGCUAAUCAAAAGAAGAAGACGAAGAGGAGGUACAGGCAGGGUAGGUGGCCGUGAAAGAGACACACUCCCAAAUGAUUGCGAAGGACAAGCUACUCCAAGUGACAUUAAAGAACUCGGCAACCAUGGCGUUUUCCAAUUAAUCAUGGACCAAUUUAGCUUUAUUUGGAGAGUAAAAUAGGAUGGAAAGUUAUCAGACUUGUAGAUCUUUAUGCAGACUAGAUGAGUUUAUUAUUAGUAACAUAUAUUUUCUACUCAUAUUAAGAUCUAUCAAAGUUGCAGAUGAUGUGAUUUAUAAGGAAAACAAUAUCACAACAGUUAUCCCUUUUAUUAAAAUUAUCACAAGUACAAGUUUGAAUUAUGAAUUAGACAUGAAUUUGCUAUUAGAUUUAAGCUUCCCAUACAUUUUCUGUUAUUUUUUUUUUAUCAAAUAUACUUUUCCUAUGAUUAAGAAUAAUCUACAGUAAAUUAAAUUAAAUGUGCCUCGAACAUCUAAUUAUAGAAUUAUAGCACGUCAGUCACAUCCCCUAGCUUUUCUCCAUCGUCUUCCUCCUUUCGAUGUGAUGACUAAAUAGGCAAUCGUUCAUUACACAAUAAAUUGUGGGUUGGAUUCGUCGUGGAAGGACCCUCGUGAUUUUUUAUUAUAUACGAAGAAAAAUACUGUUAGAUUAAUUAAUCUGAGCUCUAACUUAUACUUCCAAAACAUAAUUCCAAACACAUAAUUAACGAAGAAAAGAGACACACGUACAGAAGAAAAGGGAGGUGGAUGCUGAAAUAGAACGAUAGACAAUUCUGGUGAAGGUAAUAGAGGUUGACUGCCAGCUGCAGGUGCAUGCUAUAUAUCCUUAUUCCUCAUGCUAUUGAUUUAUUUAUAUUUAUAUAUAUGCAUGAGGUGAUACUGAUCAGCUGCAAGCGUGCGGCGCGAAUCCAAUUCUCUCAUUUCCUACAUCGUAGACUACUUCAAAUGUUCGCUGCUGCACAUUGCCAAUGAUCCCCAAGCGAUCAACUUGCUUACCAGAAAAUGCCAAGCAGUCAUGCCUGAGGAUCCCAGAUACGUUGAGAUCCAGUGUGACUCCAUCGAAGUGCAGCGCUACUUUGGGGACUGUUAUGGUCUUGUAGCCACUGAAGUCAUAACAGGUAUCAAGCAGUCCGUUAGUAGGCUUAAGAGGGUACGCCGACAUGUGCUCCCGGAACGCCGACCUCAGGGCCUCGUAGGCCGACGGCGGGAGGCGAGUGAUCGUAGUGCCGGAGUCCAAUAUCGUGCCACCGGACCUAAAAACCGAUGGCGAAAUGGCGAGCUGCUCCCCGGCCACGCUGAUUCCGAUCAGGUCAACGAAGUAAAAGCUUGGAUACUUGGAGCUGGUCUGCAUUCGAGUGUAAACGGUGUUGGAGGCGUCACUAGGUUCGCCCAGUUUUAGGAACCCCAUGUUGCUGGAAGUCGAAGGAAGGCAGUAGGAGAAGACCGAGUGGUAAAGUUGCGACGUCUGAGACACAAGCGACUGCUUGCCACGGCCGAGACCCACGAGCCCUGCGGCGUCGUGGAACAGCCCUUCGUUGUCGGUGCCGCACCCGAAGAGGAAGUGCUCGAUCACGUCGUUUGGCGACAGCGUCAGUCUGUCGUAGCUGUAGACUCCUGAACUGUUCGACCCAUCGCCGUAGGGGAUGAAAUAAGCGCAAGAGCUGGAGCAGCUGCCUCGGGGCUGACUGCAUUCCGACGAGUUGCAAGGGAUCGCGGCGUAGGAGGAUGAUUGGGAUGGGUCAAAGAUCGGCUCCUGCUGCGAGUAGCAUUUGUUGCAUGGUUUGCAUUGGAUCCAACUCAGGUCGCUCCCGGUGUCCAUCGUCACAGUCUGCUCUCGGCUGGGGGUGCCAUAGCCGACGGUGAUCACGUACUCCCCUCCUCCGAACUCCGCGGGGAUGCUUGCCAAGGAAUCAUUGAGCUGUGACUUCACGACACCCUUUAGGAGAUAAUUUACUCGAAGUUGGUCUUUAAGAAGGAUUUGUUCAGGUGAUGGCAGUUCCUUUGUCUCGAAGGGGGAGCAGGGUCCAUAUCGACUGACCAACCGUAUAGAGGUAACGUUGGAUCCUGAGAACCAUGCAUGCAUGCAUGGAAGUAUAUAUCACCACCAAUAGUCAGUAUUAAUUUUUUGUCUUUUAAGUAAUUUUACGUCAAACAAGUGCAGCAAUUUAUAAGUACAACUUCCAUCUGCUUGCUCGGUAACAUCGUGCUUCCAAUUUACAGCUUAAAGAGAUAGAGAAGGAAGUCUUAGUUAAAACUACAGAUGAUACUUUAUAACAGCAGCGCAAAUAAAACACCAAAAGUAAGAGGCAGCCGAUGUAUGAUUAACCUUUGAGCGGGGAGCAGACUGCUCCGGGAUUCAAAGAACGUCUUUGAACCUUAUGGUAGCUCUGUACUUCUCCAUUGGCAAGGUGAGAACGGUAGCUUAGGAGCAGAAACAGAACACAAGAGCUGGUUAGGAGGGCAGCUGAAGCCAUUAGUUAGCUGGGGAGAUACAAGUCUUGUGCGUAGGAGCUCUGGCUAUGCAUCCAAUUUAUAGAGAACCUUCAAUGCUACCUUCUCUCCUUGAAUCUUCAAAGCGAUGCUUUUGGUUUGGCCUCUGAUUACCACAUGCGAAAUUGAUUUAGAAGGCUGUGGACUAGUCGUUGACGUAGGACCCACUGGCUUAGUCAAGGUCAGAUUGUCCGAUCUUCGCGGAGUCACAUAAAUUUUAUCUCGUAUCCCCGUCGACGUGUGGAAGAUCCAUGGAAAUGAUAAGAUCUCCAGUCAGCUACCAGUCCGAAGCGAUGACUUGCAACGAUCCAAGGUCUUCACGUGGUGAUUUCUUCGGUUACCAGGUCCGAUGUAUCUGCCAGUAAUUAAUUCGUGGACUCAUGGCAUCCGACUGGAGUUAAUUGACAGCAAUCAUAUGGCAUGAUUCGACGUCCACAGGAUCAUUUUCCACUGUGGCUCAUGCGGAACCAGAUUGCAAAGAACAUGUCAUACCUCAGAGCUACUUCGGUCCUCCAACUACUAUGAGAAGAACUUUAGCUGGUUCACUGAUAUGAUAAGUUCUAGGCGCUGAAACAGUUGUGGGCUUAAGGAACCGACACAGGCGAUGUGAUAUUGCUGCACUUCUCUUGUUGGCCAUGUCGGAGGGUAAGGAAAAGAAGAAGAUGAGGAGGAGGAGGAGGAGGAGGAAGCAGGGUAAGACAGGGACGGCGAGGUGGCGAUUUACGAGACAGUCAAGAACUGGAUGAUUGCACCGGACAAAGUACGUCUAUAUCAUAACAGCUAAGAAACAAUGACAUGCGUUCUCGGAUUAAUUAUGGACCAUAUUAUUGAGCAAUAUCUUCUUUUGUUUCGUUUAUCAUCUUUUGCGCUUGACUAUAUCUGUGCAUUACUGAUAGCAAAUGGCCGAAAGCUGCCUGUAUUUAUAUUUCUUUCUUUUUUCGCGUUAGAUAAGGCUCAGGUACAGAAGCUAUGAAGACAAAGGGAAGGAAAAGACUGGUCACAACAAUUCGGUAAUGUAAUGUUUUUGAUAAGAAUACAAGCGAAUAGAUAUGUGUUACGUAUCGGAUUAAGCGUAUCAAAUCGAAUGAUAGAAAUCAAUAAUUUAGUUCAAACCAGCAUCAGACUGUAUAAAAAAAAAAAAGUAAUUUUUUUGAAAAAAAUUCUUCUUUUUUUUUCUGAAAAGGGAUCUCUGUUUUACUUUUUCACAAAAUGAGACUCCCUAAUUCAAAUAAUACUCAAAAUACUCACCGUCAUUGCUAAUGGUAUUUUUCUCAUCAAAUUUGUUUUGUCUAUUUUUUUAUUAGUUUCGAAUCAUUAUAGUGUUUUUAUUUGGCUCAUUUAUAAUAUUUUUCAAUAGCAUUACGGUAUUGUGAUGGUGGCAAUAAUUUUUACCCAUAUUUAGAUGAUGUUGUUAUUCAUAAAUUAUUAUUAUAGUACCUAUUUGAAUUCUAAUAUGAUAUAUUAAAUAAUUUUUAGUAUAUUUUGAUUUUAUUUGACUUGCUUAUAGUAUUUUUUUUACAACAUUAUAGGUUUUAUUAUGAUAUUAAGGAUAUUAUAAAGCUAUUGAAAAAUAUUGUAAGUAACUUCGUAUUAUGUCUCUUUGCUUAUCGUUGCUCAUAGAUUAUUACACUACCAAAUCAUGGAUGCUGAACACAUGCAUAUUUGGAGGUUUUCGAUACGCUGACGAACGAGAAAGAGCAAGGAAGAGGAGGAGGUGGUGGAGGCAACGGCGGCAGGAAAAGCAAGCAAGAGAAGCCAUUACGCUUGCAGAACUCGGUGAUCUGAGCUUGGAACGAGUGAAGGGAGUAGCUCUAAAUAGCUGUGCCUCUGCGCGUUCAAGUUUCAACGGGUGGUACAUCGCUUUCUCCCACUUGUCUUCCUCCUGUGGCCACUCGAGUCCUCUGUGGCGAUUACGUCAUGCGUCAUUGCGCAACAAAUAACGGGUUGGGUCAAGGAAGAGACCCUCGUGAUUCUUUAUGAGAUCCAAUCCACUCACGAGCAGAAAAGGAGGUGUGAUCACAUGCUGGAAGGCACUAAGAAUUAAGCCCGUAUAAUUGACUCCUGACUUGUUGUCAGACACUCUCGAGUCCCGUGGGAAGACCAUCCAAGAAGAGGCCUCAGCUUUGAAUUGGAAUCUUCUUUCUAACUUAGGCCGUGAAGCAAUGGCGACCAACCUUUGAGUUAUUCCAUAGACUAACAACUUUGUGGCUAUUUGUUUAGUAUUGGAUUAAUGGACUGAACUCAAUCGUUCCUCGCCCAAAAGAACCAUUGGCUAAUGUUACUUGAUAUGAAGGAUCCAAAGCAACCACCAAGAAAAGAAUGUCGAAAGAAGAACCACAAAGCAUUUGAGAACAAUCAUGAUCUCAAGGUGGCCUAUCACUUUCUUCUUCCUUCUUUCCUGCUAUUUCUUCUGAUAUAAUCAUGUGGAAAGACAUAAUAUAAUCCAUCUCUAAGCAGUGUGGCUCCCUGUGGAAAGACAUAAUCUAAUCCAUCUCUAAGCAGUGUGGCUCCCUGCGACAGGCUCUCUUACGUUCAUGCGUUUCUGGCUGACAUAAGUCUACGGAGACAUGAUGUUGCAGAGGUUGCAUAAUCCACCGCACCUCUCCAACAUUUCACAUGGCAAGCCCCGUUCCGUUUGUCAUGUCCUUGCUAAGCUUUUGGAAUGUUGCAGAAAACGAGCCAUGGGGUUCGUGCAAUGCUUCUCAAAUUGGAACAGUGGUGAGAAAUCUGCGGUGGCUCAGUCACUGUCGGUCGAUAGACCAUGAAAUGUUUGAAGGACUCGUAAUUCUUCCUGCAUGUGUUUAAUUUCUCCUCGGGAUAAGCCAAGCACUUGAAAAACCAUCUCCAAUGCAUAAGCUAGAUUAAGCAUCUCAUGUGGAGAUCAGGAUACCUGCAGUUUAAGGAGUGCUAAUAUCACAGACUAUACAAAUCACCCAGCUUGUGUACUAGACAUUGUCUUUCUUCUCCGAUGAGUGGUCAGACUUCCACUUCAAGUGUUGGAAGAUGUAGCCAGGGCACUUGCAAAUAACAAGUCGGGUGGUUCUUGAUGUGGAUGGUUGGAGAUGGCAUUCUCGAGGGUUGUCGAAGGAUGCAAUUUGCAUUUCGACAUGGAACAGUGAAGAUAAUGUGCUUCCUCUGGUUCAGUGGUGCCAGUGCCUCAGCUACUAGCUUUGUUGCUUGCUCAUGCCAAGAUAAGUGGGAGGAGUAGAAAAUUAGAACCAUUCAACAAAGGAGAUGAUUCUUGCAACACCACAUUUGAAGCAUGGUCAUCAUGCAUCAACCUGUGUAGUAGGUGGUGUUCUAACAUUUGCACCCCAAAAAGAAGGGUUUGACCAAUGUGCAUUGGCUGUUGCUUCAACCUCUGUUCAGAAGCAGAAAGUGUUGUGCUAGCCAUCAUUAUUAAAGAUUAUGGAUGGUAGCAUCAACCCUUUUUUGUCAGUUACAGAGAUGACUGAAUCACUAAUGCUCAGAGACUCCAGCAUGGCUGGCCAUAUGUCCAGCAAGAAAACUAUGGAGAUCAACCCAGAGAAUCCUAUCAUGGAGGAGUUGAGGAAGCGAGCAGAUGCUGACAAGAAUGACAAAUCAGUUAAGGACCUGACACUUCUGCUGUUUGAGACUGCUCUCCUCACCUCUGGUUUCUGCUUGAAUGACCCCAAUACUAUUGGCAACAGGAUCCACCGAAUGCUGAAAUUAGGUCUCAGCAUCGAUGAGGAUGAAAAGGUUGAAGACACUGACAUGCCUACGCUUGAGGAUGCUGCUGAUGCCGAAGAGAGUAAGAUGGAGGAAAUGGACUAAUCUGGAUCAAGUUGGCUUUCUGUAUUCUGCUGCUUCUCUUGCAAUUUUUUGGUGUGCUUUUCAUAUAUGCACUAACUAUGUAGACGGCCUUCAUCACCUUUUGCCAAAGAGAUCUUUAUAACUGUUGUCUAUGCAUGCAUGGAUAAUUCAUGUUCUAUGUUAACAAGUCUAUGGUUUGAAUGUCGAUUUAGCAUGGUUGACAUUUCAUUUUUAUAGUCCUGUCUUGUGGCAAGAAGCUGCAUGAAAACAGAAUCAUGUCUAAGUUUGUCUUGAUAGUAAAUGCCAUGUUCCAGAGUAAGAUUUUGCUUUCAUUAAUUCGAGUUCGAUCGAUCAUGGAGCAUUUGGUUAUCGGAGUUCUAGAUGUUUUGCUUUGAUCAUUAGCUACGCAAUGGAAGUCAUGUGUGAAUUGUGAUGAUAUAAAUAAGAAGCUGCUGAAGAAUGACUGCCAAAUUCAACUUUACGGACAAAAGAGACAGACAUACUGAUAAUAGAUUCGGAGGAACAGAAUCUAUACUAUGUGAACAUACUGACUCCGGGUGUCUUCAUUUUGUCACCCAUUGUUCUUAUUGAUGCAGAAAACAAAGAGCAGGUGGUUGCGUGGUGAAUCAAUCAGCUGCAAGCCUGCGGCACAAAUCCAAUCCUCUCGUUUCCUAGAUCAUAGACCACUUCAAACGUUUGCUGCUGCACGUUGCCGAUGAUACCGAACCUACCGCCCUUAUAUCCAGUAAAAGCCAAGCAGCCAUGCAUGAGGAUCCCAGAUAUGUCGAGAUCCAUUGUGACUCCAUCGAAGAGCAGCGCUACUUUCGGGACUGUUAUGGUCUCGUAGCCGCUGAAGUCAUAACAGGUAUCGAGUACUCGCGUAGGAGGCGCAGCGGGGUACUGGGACAUGUAGCACCGGAACGCAGACCUCAGUGCUCCGUAGGCCGACGCCGGGAGGCGAGUGAUGGUAGUGCCGGAGUCGAUGAUCGUGCCACGGGACGAGAAAACCGAUGGCGAAAUGUCCAGUUGCUGCCCACCGACACUGAUUCCGAUCAGGUCAAGGAAGUAAAAGCUUGGAUGAUUGGAGCUGGUCUGCAUUCGAGUGUAAACGGUGUUGGAGGCGUCACCAGGUUCGCCCAGUUUCAGGAACCCGGUGGAGCUGGGAGUCGAAGGAAGGCAGUAGGAGAAGACCGACUGGUAAACUUGCGACGUUUGAGACACCAGAGAGCGCUUGCCGCGGCCGAGGCCCACGAGCCCUGCGGCGUUGAGGAACAGCCUUUCGUUGUCUGUGCCGCACCCGAAGAGGAAGGGCUCGAUCACGUCGUUUGGCGACAGCGUCAGUCUGUCGUAGCUGUAGACUCCUGAACGUUUCGGCCCACUGCCGUAGUGGAUGACAUAAGUGCAAGAGCUGGAGCAGCUGCUUCGGAGCUGACUGCAGUCCGACGAGUUGCAAGGGAUCGCGGCGUAGGAGGAUGAUUGGGAUGGGUCAAAGAUCGGCUCCUUCUGCGAGUAGCAUACGUUGCGUGGUUUGCAUUUGAUCCAACUCAGGUCGCUUCCGGUGUCCAUUAUCACAGUCUGCUCUUGGCUGGGGGUGCCAUAGCCGACUGUAAUCACGUACCCCCCUCCUCCGUACUCCGCGGGGAUGCUUGCCUUGGAAUCAUCGACCUGUGGCUUGGCGGAAGGCUUCAAGGCACUUCGCCGGAGAUAGUUGACUCGAAGUUGGUCUUUCAGAAGAAUCUCUUCCAGCGAUAGCAGUUUCUUGUCGUCGAAGGGGGAGCAGGGUCCAUGCCGAUGCACCAACGGGAGGGCGGUAGCGUUAGAUCCUGAGAACGACGAAACUAUCUUUUAAGGAAACUGUAUCAAAUGGUUUCAGCAAUUCAUGGGUAGAAUUUCCAAUUUUCUACGGAGUAUGAGAUCUGCAACCCAAAGAAAAGUUUGAUGCAAGAGAGCAGCUGGGGUAUGACUGACCCUUGGAUGAGGAGCAGACAACUUCGGGACUCGAAUUAUGAUUUCGAACCACGUGGUAGCUCUGAGCGUCUUCUCCGCUAGCAAGGGAAGAACAGUGACUCAGGAACAGAACAGAAGAGCCGAUUAAGAGAGCAGCCGAAGCCAUUUGCUGGGAAGAUACAAGCCCUGGCCGCAGGAUAGCUAUGGCAAUGCAUCCAAUUUAUAGAGACUUCGAAACCACUUUCUUUGUGCUACCACAUUGGCCUCUGAUUUGAGUCAAGUAUGUGGACUAGUCGUUGACUUCGAAUUGACUGGCAUCGUCAAGUUCUUCCACACAAUCACGGACCAAUUUAUGCUUAGUUUCGCAAUCCCACUGCAAAAUCCACGAAAUAAUUUGGUUUACGACACAACGAUGAGUUCGAAAGGAAGAGUUUUGACAGUUCAAAGUCGAAUGAUUAGAGCCACAACUCGAGUGCAACAUAAAUCCUGACUGGCUCAUAAAUCGUCAACUAAUAACAACCACAACUAAAUGCUUCCUUAUGGGUGUUCUACGAGUCACCCAGGCGAGUGGAUCGGGAGCUAAUCGAGAGGGAAUUACACAGUAUACUUCCAUGUCCGCACGAACCAAAGUGCGCAAGAACAUGGACUCGUACUUCUGAAACCUGCAAUGAUAGAUCGAUAGCUCCGAUACUGUAUGUGAUGAACGGAUUGCACUAUGAGAAUAACUUCAGCUGGUCUGGUGUUGAAUCAAUGGUUGGCAGCAGCAGAGGCUAAUCAAAAGAAGAAGACGAAGAGGAGGUACAGGCAGGGGAGGUGGCCAUGAAAGAGACACACUCCCAAAUGAUUGCGAAGGACAAGCUACUCCAAGUGACAUUAAACUACUCGGCAACAAUGGCGUUUUCCAAUUAAUCAUGGACCAAUUUAGCUUUAUUUGGAGAGUAAAAUAGGAUGGAAAGUUAUCAGACUUUGUAGAUCUUUAUGCAGACUAGAAGAGUUUAUUAUUAGUAACAUAUAUUUUCUACGCAUGUUAAGAUCUAUAAAGUUGCAGAUGGUGUGAUUUAUAAUGAAAACAAUAUCACAACAGUUAUCCCUUUUAUUAAAAUUAUCACAAGUACAAGUUUGAAUUAUGAAUUAGACAUGAAUUUGCUAUUAGAUUUAAGCUUCCCAUACAUUUUAUGUUAUUAUUUGUUUUUUUGAUCAAAUAUACUUUUCUUAUGAUUAAGAAUAAUCUACAGUAAAUUAAAUUAUAUGUGCCUUCAACAGCUAGUUAUAGAAUUAUAGCAUUUCACUCACAUCCUCUAGCUUUUCUCUAUCGUCUUCCUCCUUUCGAUGUGGUGACUAAAUAGACCAUCCUUCAGAAGGACCCUCGUGAUUCUUUAUUAUAUACGAAGAAAAAUGUUGUUAGAUUAAUUAAUCUGAGCUCUAGCUUAUACUUCCAAAACAUAAUGCCAAACACAUAAUUAACCAAGAAAAGAGGCACACGUACAGAAGAACCAGAAUGGUGUAUCACAGAUAACAGUUUACUGAAAUAGAAGCAGGGAGGUGGAUGCUGAAAUAGAACGGUAGACAAUUCUGGUGAAGGUAAUAGAGGCUGACUGCCAGCUGCAGGUGCAUGCUAUAUAUCCUUAUGCCUCAUGCUAUUUAUUUAUUUAUUUAUAUUUAUAUAUAUGCAUGAGGUGAUACUGAUCAGCUGCAAGCGUUCGGCGCGAAUCCAAUUCUCUCAUUUCCUACAUCGUAGACUACUUCAUAUGUUCGCUGCUGCACAUUGCCAAUGAUCCCCAAGCCACCAACUUGAUUAGCAGAAAAUGCCAAGCAGUCAUGGAAGAGGAUCCCAGACGAGUCGACGUCCAGGGUGAUUCCAUCACCAAAUUGCAGUGCUAUGCUGGGAACUGUUAUGGUCUCGUAGCCGCUCAAGUCAUAGCAGGUAUCAAGCAGUCCAUUAGUAGGCUUAAGAGGGUACGCCGACAUGUGCUCCCGGAACGCCGACCUCAGGGCCUCGUAGGCCGACGGCGGGAGGCGAGUGAUCGUAGUGCCGGAGUCCAAGAACGUGCCACCGGACCUAAAAACCGAUGGCGAAAUGGCCAGCUGCUCCCCGGCCACGCUGAUUCCGAUCAGGUCAACGAAGUAGUAGCUUGGAUCAUUGGAGCUGGUCAGCAUUCCAGUGUAAACGGUGUUGGAGGCGUCACCAGUUUCGCCCAGUUUUAGGAACCCCGUGUUGCUGGAAGUCGAAGGAAGGCAGUAGGAGAAGACCGAGUGGUAAAGUUGCGACGUCUGAGACACAAGAGACUGCUUGUCACGGCCGAGACCCACGAGCCCUGCG